AGGAGACACACACAAGGAAGAAGCAGGAGAGACAUGAGACACAAAGAGAGACAGAGGAAGAGACUGAGGUGGUGGAGUGCAUGUCCCCAAUUCCCUGUUGCCGCUCAGCGCUGAAACAGCCGGUGGAGGGCGUGUCCCCGAUUCUGUGUCCCCGCUCAAUGGUGAAGCAGCCGGUGGAGGCCUCAGCUCCUCUGUCGGGUACCUCGGAUGUAACACUGGCAGAGGGUCCUGUCCCUGGAUUCAGGCGGCCUGGUCCUGCCUCCUAAGCCUGGUUCCAUGCAUCCUGGUCCUGGUUCCACACCGCGUCCUGGUUCUUGGUGAGGCAGACGUCAGCAACCCGGUUCCAGGCAUCACUGUUGGAUAUCUACCCACACUGCACCCAAUCACCUCCUCCUCCUCCUCCUACCACGGAUAUGGAAACAAGGCAGAGGUUUUGUUCUACCACUUGAGGACAUCUUGACGUGAACAUGCAGGGAACAUCAGAGAGUUUGACAUAAUGUCCCUGCUGUGGAGUAGACCAUUCCACUGCUGCUGUAUCAGUUCAAACCUCCACUAUGCUCUGCGUGGCUGCUGGACUGACCCAUUUAUCCAAGCAGGGGGAGCAAUUCAAACUUGUUAAGGCAGUGGACAACUCUAA